UACGUAGGGUGCGAGCGUUGUCCGGAAUUAUUGGGCGUAAAGAGCUUGUAGGUGGUUUGUCGCGUCUGCUGUGAAAAUCCGAGGCUCAACCUCGGACUUGCAGUGGGUACGGGCAGACUAGAGUGUGGUAGGGGAGACUGGAAUUCCUGGUGUAGCGGUGGAAUGCGCAGAUAUCAGGAGGAACACCAAUGGGCGAAGGCA
rnacentral:rRNA from 1 species